rnacentral:rRNA from 1 species
CCGCGACCCCAGGUCAGGCGGGAUUACCCGCUGAG